rnacentral:tRNA from 3 species
GGGCAGUUAGCUCAGUUGGAUAGAGCGUUGGCCUCCGGAGCCAAAGGCCACAGGUUCGAAUCCUGUACUGCCCACCA